rnacentral:tRNA from 1 species
UCCAUGGCAGUCCAGUGGUUAGGAUUCAUUACUUUCACUGCUGGGAGCCUGGGUUCAAUCCCUAGUCAGGGAA